rnacentral:rRNA from 1 species
AUUGAACGCUGGCGGCAUGCUUUACACAUGCAAGUCGAACGGUAACAGGCCUUCGGGUGCUGACGAGUGGCGAACGGGUGAGUAAUGCAUCGGAACGUGCCCAGAGGUGGGGGAUAACGCAGCGAAAGCUGUGCCAAUACCGCAUGUGAUCUGAGGAUGAAAGCGGGGGACCAGGCAGCAAUGUUUGGCCUCGCGCCUUUGGAGCGGCCGAUGUCAGAUUAGGUAGUUGGUGGGGUAAAGGCCUACCAAGCCGACGAUCUGUAGCUGGUCUGAGAGGACGACCAGCCACACUGGGACUGAGACACGGCCCAGACUCCUACGGGAGGCAGCAGUGGGGAAUUUUGGACAAUGGGCGCAAGCCUGAUCCAGCAAUGCCGCGUGCGGGAAGAAGGCCUUCGGGUUGUAAACCGCUUUUGUACGGAACGAAAAGGCUCUGGCUAAUACCUGGGGCUGAUGACGGUACCGUAAGAAUAAGCACCGGCUAACUACGUG